GUGAAUCAUCAAAUUUUUGAACGCAAAUUGCCCUCUCUUCGGAGAGUAUGCCUGUUUGAGGGUCAGCCUCAAAAAAAUCGACAUAGUCGUUCUUUCUCUGUGACAUUCCUCUGAAGUUGGUUCAUCUUAAACCUUUGGCUUUUAAGCGGUUUAAACUUUUCUUUACGUUUCCACGAACGAUUCUAAUAUUUACUUCUUCCAUUUAAGCUAU
rnacentral:misc_RNA from 1 species